rnacentral:lncRNA from 1 species
AAAAAACACGAGCAGCUGUUGUACAGCGUGCGUGCAGCGUACAGACACAAAGGUUCGACGACCUCCGAUGAUCCGGAGCUGGGAAGGGCGUGCGGAGAAAUCCGUAUGUACGUGUUAUAUACAUAUAUAUUACGUGUGUGUGUGUGUGUGUACAGGCUAUUAAUAUUAACCGCUGGGACCGGAUUUCACUUGGCAAAAAUCUCGACGGUAUUUCGCGAGCACCCGAUGGACGUGGUGCGUGUGUGUGUGAAUUCAUAUUAAACGCUGUAUAAUAAGUACGUAUGUAUAGGAUGUACUGAAAUUUACGAUUUAUACAACUGUAAUAAUAUAGGCGUCCGUUUCGUACUUUUUUUCGGAUAUGUUUUGAGCGUAGGCACCCGUUAAGUAUACAAUAAAAUAUAAUAUGUAUUUAGGUUAAACCUAUCGGCGGCGGUUUCGAGGGGAUGACGGGCGCUAAUUCAAAAUCCGCUCCGGGGUCACGGGGUCCGACCCGUGCCGUAACGUUUGUCGGAAAUUAAUUGCUCGGCUAUAAUAAUAAUCAGCUGCAGGUAUACGGAAAAUAUUACGCAAAUUUUCGGCGGUUUUAAUCGGAACAGUUUUCCACGACUCCGGUCGUUAUAAACAAUCCCGUCCCCGCCUAUUUCAACAGCUUUCGCGUAUUUCGUAUGUUUAAGCCGUUUGUUUAGAUUCCGAUAAAUAUUUGCCAACGCGUAAUUGUAUAUAACGGCACGUUUCGAUCAACGGGAUAAGUACUGUUUACUAUUAUUAAGCGACGAAAACGCCGAGAGGUUUAUUUAUUGGAAGGGAGGGUAAUUCGUUAAAUCGCAUCACCUCCGGAUAUCGGCCGCGUUGUCGUAUAAUUUUUAAUCGCGCUCGCGGAUUUAAUAUCACAGCGAAUUGACUGACCGAUCAAAAUAUUCAACUCAAAGGGAUGACCGUGGUCACACGUUGGUUUUUUCCAGGGUUGGUAAUAUCCGCGUACCUAUAAAAUGUUUUAUACGUUAUACGUAUAAAACGACUAAGACAUUAUUAUUAUUUUUUGAAAUUUAUCAUAAUAGUGAUAACACUGUACGUUUUAAAUUUUAAUAAGUAUUUAAACUCAUAAAUUAAUAUAACAAAUUAACAAAUCGCUCGGAAUUUCCUUAAAUUUAGAAUAUAACAAAAGAAAUUGUUUUUCGGUAUUAUAUAAAUAUUAAUGCAGUUAGGUAUUAACAAAGAAUAAAGAUGAACUCGGUAAUAUAACAAAUUAUCACAUACAUCUCGGGUGAUUAAUAACAGGUAUAUAAAAAAUGAUUAUUAAAUUCUAUUGACAGUUAUUUUACCUGAUAAUUUCCGUUCGAUCGCGGCCAAAAACAAAUUGUAUACAAUAUGAAACAUGUAUACAAUUAAUAGUUUUAUACGUGCGUUUAAUACGCGUUUUAUACUUUACUACUGCACGUUAUACGUUCCAACCCUGGACUUUUUCCCCCCGGAUCUCGAUUGACGUGCAUGCGUUUGUAAACCGCGAUAUAUCGCGUACUCGUUAAUGUACUGUUUCGAUGAAAUACAAUUUAAUACGAACGAUAAACUGACGCGGGAACGCGGCCAAUGGCGUUCUCCCUUUCGUAGAGUGUGAUAACGGCCAGGUCGAUUCGCUGUGAUAUCGAAACCGACGGCCGAUCAUCGGUUCCGCCGCGUGCCGUUCGUAAGACGGAGACGGCGUUAUAAUAGCGCACGGUGUGUUUAAACGAAAAAAAAAAAAAAACUGCAGGAUUGCUCGGCCGAAACGCUCGUGUUAAUUGCGCGUACGAGACGCAAUGUCAAAACCAUUACUUAUAGAACGUACCAACAAUAAUUAUUAUUAUAUUUUAUAAACGAUAUGAUUAUUAUUAUUAUGUAAUGUAUUAGGAAUCGCCGUGUAUUUAGGUCACCGAUGAAACGAUCGACAAUAACGAUCGACGCGCAUCUCAAAUAUAUGAUAUACGUGCACAGCUAUUACACGAACGCCACCGCAAACAACACUAUCGGUUUUAACCGUCCGUUUUAGAAUAUACGUUUCAGACGGCGCUCGUUUCGGGCAGGGGAUAGGGGCAGGUUGGGUUCCGUUAAACGUCGCAGUGAGGCUGCGCGAUAAAAUGUUUUAAUUUUUUUUUUUAUAUUUUACCAGGGGCGCCGCAUAUGGGCUCACGAGCUUGAUAAAACGGAGUUCAGCCCCUCACGGUCGGUUCUUAUAUUAUUAUACAAAAAAAUUCAAUAUUUUUGUCACGUACGUCCUCAAAAUACUGAUUUUAUUUAUAACAAACAAACUGAAAGAGAUAAACGUUUUUUUUUUAUUUCGAUAUCGAUAGCAGAGAAAAAGCGUCGAUUGUCUUGUGUUUUUUCACUAUUAGGACACGGAUUUAUACGCACUUAAAAUUCACAAAAAAGCGUUUAAAAAACACUAAAAAAAUGUUUAUUUCAAAGUAAUAUUUUUCAAAUUAAUUCGUACGUGUUAUAAAAAGUAAAAUGCUUUGUGUUAAUCAUUUAUCAGUGUUCGAAAAAUGGGAUGAGAACCGUCAGAUUGAGGACUUUAAAACUCGUAUUCCACUUAUGUUUUUUUAAAUAUUUUCGUGUACUUUUUUGAUGAUUUAAGCGUUUUUUUUUUACGAAUUUUAAGUGCAUAUUCACGAUGCUGCAUAAUUUUAAAAUUUACAAAACAACAAAUAACUAUAUUUUAGUUUUUUUUUUAACGAACAAUUUAAGGAAAAUAUUAAUAUCAAAUAUACGGUAAGAUUUAGGUAAAACUGUACAUGCGUUUAUGAAAUAGUGAGCCCCCCCGUGAUAUUUUAAAAACCGGGCGCUUCUGUCCUUAAUACGACAGUACACUAUAGCUCUAGCUAUUAAAAUACCACUGCUUACAGAAAUAACAUAUUAUACACAGUGCACACAUUUCGGACAUCACGAACAAUUCUGAUAUUCAUCCCGUCCGUGAUGUUUUCAAGUUAAAUACGAUCGUUAUUUAAAAAUCGCAAUUAUUUACGCGGACCUUUACGUAUACUAUAAUAUUAUAGGUGUACAUCUUUUUUUCUAAUUGAUUUUUUUUGUUUUUUAAUUUUCGCACUCGCGUGAUUAGUAUAAAAUACGCGUUUAUACCGCGUGUUGAUCGCGUGUAUUAUAGGUGAUUUGAAAAUAAUUAUUAUAAUUUAUUUACCGUCAUCGUCGUCGGUAUACGUAUAUUAUAUAAUAACAGUACAGUCAGGUUAGGGUACAAGGUAGAUACCGUACGUUUCAACAGUGUCCAAAGUGUAAUAUGCAUAUUAUAUACUGUCAAAAAACUGUACACACAAUAUAUUUUAUAAGUAUACGGGUACUGUACGUGAAAACGUGCGAAGAGAAUUAUAUAUAAUAUAUGCGUUACUAUUUCUGCGUGACGUGUUUGAUUUUUGUUAUUCGCGUGUUAUAGUCGAAUACGUUAUGCAGGUAGUCGUAAUAUUUACUGCAAUAGUUCCCCGCGUAAGUAUAAUAUAUUAUUACUGUCGAAUAUUCGGCGGUUUACAUUACAAAGGAGGACAACUAAAAGGUCUUCAAUCUGGACGUAUAUGCGCGGCAAAGUAAGUCGCUGUACAGAUAGAAGAUGAAUUAUUACGGGUAGAUAUAUGAAGCCAGAUAUUGUGUAUUUUAGGAUUGAUAAGAAUUAAAGAGCAUUUUAAGCUAUGCACUUAUUGGUCACACUGGUUCACCGUUAUAAUAGAAAUCAAUGAAACGGCACAGAAGCGAAUAUCCAGGCGGAAAACAAACGUUUCGUUCGGACGACUGCUGUGAGAUCUCCGUUGUAGAUGACUUGGUCAUUAAUAAUAAAAACCCGACGAAUAUAAAUUGAUCGUGUUUGAAACGAAAAUCACGAGAAAUAUUUCUGAAGUUGUAAAAGGUAUUGAUAUCUAUAUGAUUGAAAAUAAGAAAGAACAAGUAACUUGAUUGAAAAACGAACAUCGUAUAGAAGUCACCGGGCCUAUACUACUGGACAAGAACCCGAUGGGGAAAAGACCUCUAGGAAGGCCGAGAAUCGGGUUGAAAGACGUAAUAAAAAAAAUAUGCGAAUGAAUUACGAGGAAGAUAAUAUUGGACAGCACGAGCACCACUGGAUAUAGAAGGCUGUAGGAUAUCGAAACGUAAGAAGGGAUUGUCUCAGCGAUCGUUUUUGUACCCCGAAGAAGAUUCCCGUGUGAUUGCUCACGCUAUUUUCGAAUGGACUCGGAUAGACGCGAGAUUUGAGCUGGUCAGUGUUGACUCUCGUUACUCACUCGACUAUAUUCUUACAUUUUAUAGACGAUAUGAAAAAGUGUAUAAAAAAAAAAAAGUACAUCCCAAAUUAUACACAGUAAUAAAACACGUCCUUCGAUAAAACGGCUGCGUAAAAACGAAAAUUCGAACGGACAUUUCACACGAAUUUAAACUCCGGCAAAACAGACGUCCGUGGUGAACGGGCGUUUUCUUCGGUCCCUUAUUGGAUUCCCGUUUUUACGCCGAUGUUGCAUGCUACCGCCGUGUCAUAUUUUCCAAACCAUCGGUUCUAAUCAAUAUCGCGUAUUCCGACGGUUUAUACAUACACAAAUGCUCGAAUCUCCGGAAGUAGGUAUACAAACAGCCAUUGGCGCACAUUCGGUCAAGAACUUGGGAGUGCUAAAAUCAUUAACGAUAGGGUGUAACGAGGGAGCUCUAUCUCUCUCCACUCCUACCAACUUAUUCGGUAUUUCAAAAUAAAAUUAUAUAUUAUAAUUACACAUUAAAUAAACUACAAAAUCGAAAUAAUGAUAUCCGAUUUUCAAUAACGAAUCUUUCAUUGCCUAUAGUAAAUAACCAACAAGGGAUAGGGGAUACACGAUAGCAUAAUAGUAUAAUUUCUUAUCUCAUAUCUGAGUACUGUUUGAGGCUUAUAUUUAUUUUAUUCGGCUGAAGAUCAGGGGGGAUGCUGAUUUUAGAUUUAGGGGUGCCGAGUACCUCCUGGUACCCCGGUGUGUGCGCCAAUGCUAUAUAACAGCCGGUAUUGUGAAAUGCAUCAUCGACGAUGAUGAAUUACGUGUAAAGUAGGAAACCCGUGCGCGUACAAAUAAAAAAAUUAUUGAGUUAAUGGGAGUUGAAAAAAAAAAAAA